GCCCGAGUAACCCGCUGGUUUUUAGAGUUGCAGCCUUACCGGUUCAAGGUGGAGCAUCGCGCUGGGAAGCUGCACCAGAAUGCUGAUGCGCUAUCCAGGAGGGAGGAUGGCCUAGGGGCAGACGCUCCCGCCCGGGGCUUGGAGCUGAGGGGGGGGGUAUGUGGCACCCCUGCUCCUGAAUGUUGUGCCACGUGGGUGGAGAACCCUGGAGGGGCCCGUGCCGGUCAACCGCGCAGACGUCACGCAUUGGGAGAGGUGUGCGAAGGGGUAUAUCUGCCUAGAGAUGUGAUGGGGAGAUCAGCACCUUGGAGAGAGAUCCCUCUACCUGCGGUCCAGGACCCCGGCCAGCGCACCCCUGACGCGGCCGAAGAGGAGAGGAGGGAGGAAGCCCUGGAAAAUACCCCGGUCUGGGAAGAAUCUUCGUUUAUUUUUUGCCUAAACGGCCCCUUUGAUUUCUCCAGUUUUCCCCUACCCUUGCCCUGAGGGGGGGCGCUAUCACCAAUACCCCGAAAAAAAAAAACACAGAAAAAAUAAAAAGAAGUAUUUUUUCUGA